rnacentral:sRNA from 1 species
CUUAGUCUUGCUUGUGGAUGGAAGCAAAUACUAUCACAGCGAGGAACUGGGACUUUGUGUGCGGACUCCUGGCUUGAUCUUUAUAGGAUUGGGUGUAUGUUGUUGGAACUGGCAGGCCAAGAGGCCCUGAAACCAGCAGGUGCCAUCUAUAUGGAGAAAAGCGGAUGUAGUCCAUUUCCAGUGUGUUGGGCCAAAGAAUAUGACAGAUACCUAGCAUCUAGCAAAAUAAUGGCAGCUGCUUACCUUGACCCCAACUUGAAUCACACGCCAAAUUCGAGUACUAAGACUCACCUGGGUACUGGUAUAGAACGUUCUCCUGGUGCGAUGGAGCGAGUAUUAAAGGUCUUUCAUUAUUUUGAAAGCAAUAGUGAGCCAACCACCUGGGCCAGUAUUAUCAGGCAUGGAGAUGCUACUGAUGUCAGGGUAAGUACGUUUUUUCCAUGAGACAUCUAAUGUUUAUUUAGGUUAAAAUGUAAUGGCAUGUAUGAAAAAAGUGUCAUAAUUUUUAUUUAACUUAUCAGGGACUUUUCAUAUUACAGAAAUGUUGUUUUUAAUUAUAAGAUUUAUUAGUUAAUAUGUGACUGACCAGCGUUCUAAUUGUUGUAAAGUUUCUUAGAAAAAUAAUGACCGAAUCAUAUUUUAGUC